rnacentral:rRNA from 1 species
AUACAGGAAGAAACACUCGGACGUGUCCGAGCUUGACGGUACUGUAAGAAUAAGGAUCGGCUAACUCCGUGCCAGCAGCCGCGGUAAUACGGAGGAUCCAAGCGUUAUCCGGAAUCAUUGGGUUUAAAGGGUCCGUAGGUGGAUUAGUAAGUACAGAGGUGAAAGCCUGCAGCUCAACUGUAGAACUGCCUUUGAUACUGCUAGUCUUGAGUCAUUAUGAAGUGGUUAGAAUGUGUAGUGUAGCGGUGAAAUGCAUAGAUAUUACACAGAAUACCGAUUGCGAAGGCAGAUCACUAAUAAUGUACUGACACUGAUGGACGAAAGCGUGGGGAGCGAACAGGAUUAGAUACCCUGGUAG